AAGAUUUUAAGUUAAAUAAACUAAUAGCCUUCAAAGCUGCAAAUAAAAAUAUUUUUUAAAUCUUA
rnacentral:tRNA from 4 species